AUUGAACGCUGGCGGAAUGCUUUACACAUGCAAGUCGAACGGUAGAGGGGGCGACCCCUUGAGAGUGGCGAACGGGUGAGUAAUAUAUCGGAACGUGCCCAGUCGUGGGGGAUAACGCAGCGAAAGCUGUGCUAAUACCGCAUACGAUCUACGGAUGAAAGCGGGGGACUCGCAAGAGCCUCGCGCGAUUGGAGCGGCCGAUAUCAGAUUAGCUAGUUGGUGGGGUAAAGGCCACCAAGGCGACGAUCUGUAGCUGGUCUGAGAGAACGACCAGCCACACUGGAACUGAGACACGGUCCAGACUCCUACGGAGGCAGCAGUGGGAAUUUGGACAUGGGGGAAACCCUGAUCCAGCAAUG
rnacentral:rRNA from 1 species